AACGAACGCUGGCGACAUGCCUAUCACAUGCAAGUCGAACGAAGCCUUCGGGCUUAGUGGCGCACGGGUGCGUAACGCGUGGGAAUCUGCCCUUGGGUUCGGAAUAACAGUUAGAAAUGACUGCUAAUACCGGAUGAUGUCUUCGGACCAAAGAUUUAUCGCCCAAGGAUGAGCCCGCGUAGGAUUAGGUAGUUGGUGGGGUAAUGGCCCACCAAGCCGACGAUCCUUAGCUGGUCCGAGAGGAUGAUCAGCCACACUGGGACUGAGACACGGCCCAGACUCCUACGGGAGGCAGCAGUGGGGAAUAUUGGACAAUGGGCGAAAGCCUGAUCCAGCAAUGCCGCGUGAGUGAUGAAGGCCUUAGGGUUGUAAAGCUCUUUUACCAGGGAUGAUAAUGACAGUACCUGGAGAAUAAGCUCCGGCUAACUCCGUGCCAGCCGCCGCCGUAAUAC
rnacentral:rRNA from 1 species